rnacentral:rRNA from 1 species
UACGUAGGGGGCAAGCGUUGUCCGGAAUUAUUGGGCGUAAAGGGCUUGUAGGCGGUUUGUCGCGUCUGCUGUGAAAUUUCGGGGCUCAACCCCGAACUUGCAGUGGGUACGGGCAGACUAGAGUGUGGUAGGGGAGACUGGAAUUCCUGGUGUAGCGGUGAAAUGCGCAGAUAUCAGGAGGAACACCAAUUGCGAAGGCAGCUCGCUGGGACGUUACUGACGCUGAGACGCGAAAGCGUGGGGAGCAAACAGG